AUUGAACGCUGGCGGCAGGCCUAACACAUGCAAGUCGAGCGAGCGGCGGACGGGUGAGUAAUGUCUGGGAAACUGCCUGCUGGAGGGGGAUAACUACUGGAAUCGGUAGCUAAUACCGCAUACCCUCAGAUGUGCCCUGAUGGUAUUAGCUAGUAGGUGGGGUAACGGCUCACCUAGGCGACGAUGCCUAGCUGUUCUGAGAGGAUGACCAGCCAAACUGGAUCUGAGACACGGUCAAGAAUCAUACGGGAGCAAGCAGUGGGGAAUAUUGCGCAAUGGGUGCAAGCCUGAUGCAGCCAUGCCGAGUGGGUGAAGAAGGCAUUCGGGUUGUAAAGCACUUUCAGCGGGGAGGCGUUACCCGCAGAAGAAGCACCGGCUAACUCCGUGCCAGCAGCCGCGGUAAUUC
rnacentral:rRNA from 1 species